rnacentral:rRNA from 1 species
GACGAACGCUGGCGGCGUGCUUAACACAUGCAAGUCGAACGAUGAAAGCUGGAGCUUGCUCCUGCUGGAUUAGUGGCGAACGGGUGAGUAACACGUGAGCAAUCUGCCCUUGACUCUGGGAUAACGCCGAGAAAUUGGUGCUAAUACCGGAUAUGACCCCUGGCGGCAUCGCUGGGGGUGGAAAGUUUUUCGGUCAAGGAUGAGCUCGCGGCCUAUCAGCUAGUUGGUGAGGUAAUGGCUCACCAAGGCGACGACGGGUAGCCGGCCUGAGAGGGUGACCGGCCACACUGGGACUGAGACACGGCCCAGACUCCUACGGGAGGCAGCAGUGGGGAAUAUUGCACAAUGGGCGCAAGCCUGAUGCAGCAACGCCGCGUGGGGGAUGACGGCCUUCGGGUUGUAAACCUCUUUUAGCAGGGAAGAAGCGAAAGUGACGG